UGAGCAAUCUGCCCUUGACCCUGGAAUAACAGCUGGAAACAGCUGCUAAUACCGGAUACGACCUCCGAUGGCAUCAUCUGGAGGUAGAAAGCUCCGGCGGUCAAGGAUGGGCUCGCGGCCUAUCAGCUUGUUGGUGAGGUAACGGCUCAUCAAGGCUUCGACGGGUAGCCGGCCUGAGAGGGCGACCGGUCACACUGGGACUGAGAUACGGCCCAGAUCCGUACGGGG
rnacentral:rRNA from 1 species